UGUUCACGCAGCCGGGGCAGGUGCUUCUUGUGUGGCCAGGAGGGCCACUUCCAGUCAGACUUCCCGAGGAGUCCAUUGCCAGCGCCAUCUUCGGCAUCUGCACCAGCAUCGCCAGGUCCCAGCCAGGGGACAUCUUCUGCGCAUUACCAGGCAGGACGGCCGCCAGUUCAGCGGCAGGCGGAGGGGUCACGACAGGCCCCGAGCGGGCGCAUGUACGCGGCCCAGACUGAGGAGGCGGCAGCAGCCGAGAAUGUGGUUCCAGGUAUCAUUUUACUUCAUGGUA
rnacentral:lncRNA from 1 species